AAUAACUUUGUCCUGCAAUCAAAGAUGAUGCACGGGUGGAAAAUGCGUCAUAUACUGACGGCUCCGUAUGCGCAACGGAGUAUGCGUCACUUACGCCAAAACUGUAUUCACUACGACUUGUGUAACACGUCAUUUUCAUAUGUAGAAUAAUUACUACAAACCCUUAACUGAUUGAGAAAACAGCAGCAGAUAAUACAGAAAAAAACAUAAUAUAAAGAAUUCACAACACGACUGUAAAAUGGAGGGAGACGACUGCUGCGCCGCUGACGGACAGAACGAGCAGACCUCCUCCCUCGUGCGCGCGAGCUCUCUCAAAAGUUAACCCAAUCCCUCCGAAAACAAUUUUCCCUGGCUUGGCUUGAUUGCUUCAGUGGGAUGAUUGAUGACACAAGAGUGAUGAAGGAAGUUGACAUAUUGCUGUCUGCCGGAGAUGUCAUGGGGGCACGCAUGGGCAAAAUCCUACAGAGCCCCUAAAGUUACAUGGUGGUGAAAAAAAAAUAUGAGAUGGGAGGAAAAAUAAGUCAACGCAUUUGCGUUCUCUCACAAAUGAUUUGUGUUUAGAGAAACUUUGCGCUCUCUUGCAUAACCUUUGGGUUCCCCAAGAAAAGUUUUUGCGAGGGAACGCAAAAGCAUUGACAAAUAAUUUUUCCUCUAUCUCAUUUUUUUUUUCUUUUAGGGGCUCUGUAAAAUUCAGUCAUUCCAGUUGGAAUCCAUGAGAUCUCCCUAUGCAAAUGCAACGAGUUUGAGUUGGUCACGCGGAUUUGCUGCAUUUACCAAUAAAAUUAGCUUGGUUUGAAAGUGGCUUUUGUGUGAGCUGCUUCAUUCAUCUGUCGGAAUUUGGCUACAGUGACCACACCUUAAUAAUAGUUCAAACGAGUAAAAGAAACAAAUACCUGCUCUAAAAAGGUUGGAAGGGAUGAUUUUUUACACUUUGAAGAAAUUGAAAGUUUUAAUGUGAUCUUUCAUUAGAGUGAGGUUGCUGCAAUACAUUGAAACUGACUGAUUUCCAAAGGGCAACCCAGGGGUUUUGAUCUCCUUUUAAGGCAUUGUCAUUCCGAGUUCUAACAUUAUAGCAAGAUGGAGAAGAAACAUUUAAUUUUUAUUUUAGGUUGACUCCAAAAUGUUUGACUCACUGUGCCUUCAAAGGAUUGCAGAUUUUUUUUCCCCUCAUGUUCCAUCCCCUGGGUAUGUUUUUAUCAGGUACAUACCUUCAUGAAGUCAAGGACAAAUAGCAGAAUGGCUCUUGAAAUGGAGCGGCAAAAACUUCAAAGAGGACUGUCAAAAAAAUCGAUUGGGAAUGGAGGCACAAAACACGAUGGAGAAGUGUAAUUGAUCUCAUUAUUAUGGAAGCGCGGCAGUUUACUCUUCUUUUGAGGGAGGAAAAAAGAGAAUAAUUUCUCUCCUCUCUACUCAACUGUACAUUAUGCGGCUGCUAUGAGAGUGUGCAGGUGGGGUUUGGCCCAUUUCAGAUGUUUUAUUUUCAGUUAGAAUAUCAUGGUAAAAUGGAAAAUUAACUUUUAUGUAAAAAGAUCAUCUUGAUCUUGAAAUAAAGAGUCUUGUUUGUGUUGCCGUGCACAAGGCCAGGACCCGACAGAAACUGCAGACAUCUUUUGAAUUUUCUAUGGGUAAAUCUGUGGAAGUUCAUAAUGUGGAAGAUGCCAUCCUUAAGAUCAGCGUGCAUUUACUGCUGAAUUGUAACAAGAUGCAUUUAGUUUAUAAUUUACAUUUAGCAUCUUAAGAUUAUUUAAAUGUAAUGGGGGA